rnacentral:rRNA from 1 species
AGAGUUUGAUCCUGGCUCAGAUUGAACGCUGGCGGUAUGCUUAACACAUGCAAGUCGAACGGAAACGAUACUAGCUUGCUAGUAGGCGUCGAGUGGCGGACGGGUGAGUAACGCGUAGGAAUCUACCUAAUAGUGGGGGAUAGCCCGGAGAAAUCCGGAUUAAUACCGCAUAAUCUCUAUGGAGUAAGGGGGCCCUCUUCUUGAAAGGUUUCGCUAUCAGAUGAGCCUGCGUAAGAUUAGCUAGUUGGUGAGGUAAAAGCUCACCAAGGCGACGAUCUUUAGCUGGUCUGAGAGGAUGAUCAGCCACACUGGGACUGAGACACGGCCCAGACUCCUACGGGAGGCAGCAGUGGGGAAUAUUGGACAAUGGGGGCAACCCUGAUCCAGCAAUACCGCGUGUGUGAAGAAGGCCUGAGGGUUGUAAAGCACUUUCAAUUGUGAAGAAAAGUUAAUA